GCGCAAGCGUUGUCCGGAAUUAUUGGGCGGAAAGAGCUCGUAGGCGGUCUGUUGCGUCCGCUGUGAAAACUCGGGGCUUAACCCCGAGCCUGCAGUGGAUACGGGCAGACUAGAGGUAGGUAGGGGAGAAUGGAAUUCCCGGUGUAGCGGUGAAAUGCGCAGAUAUCGGGAGGAACACCGGUGGCGAAGGCGGUUCUCUGGGCCUUACCUGACGCUGAGGAGCGAAAGCGUGGGGAGCGAACAGG
rnacentral:rRNA from 1 species